AUGACAUUCCUGACCCUUUUUUUUUUUUUUUCUCCCGAAGGUGAACUCCCAGUCUGUAUCUUGGGCCUUCGGCAGGCCAACUUCACUCAUCACAAGGUGGUGAACAGAAUGAGAAAGAUUAAGUGGAGAAUUGUGCAGGAGACUGAAGGGGCCAGACUGAAAGUAGCAUACAUCAUUUCUGCCCACACGCUAUUGACCAGCACUCAUCGCAUGGUUCCACAAACCACAGGGAAGCCCGGAAACGUGUCUUUCUGCAUGCAUAGGAGGAAAAUUAAGUUUGGAAAACACAAAGUAUUGUCCCAGUACAGUAUCACAUUCACAUAAAUACAGCCCAGUCAACAAAACCAAUUAUACAGCAAUUCACAUCUUUACUUGGAGAAGUCUAAAGAACAGAUCAACAGCUUGAUGAAUUUUUACAAAGAGAAAACACCUGUACAACUAGCACCCUGAUCAGAAUAGGUGACAUUGGCCAGGUGUGGUGGCUCACACCUGUAAUCCUAGCACUUUGGAAGGCCGAGGUGGGUGUAUCCCUUGAGAUCAGGAGUUCAAGACCAGCCUGGCCAACACGAUGAAACCCCGUCUCUACUAAAAAUACAAAAAUUAGCUGGGUGUGGUGGUGAGCACCUGUAAUCUCAGCUACUCAGGAGGCUGUACAGGAGAAUCGCUUGAACCUGGGAGGCCAGAGGUUGCAGUGACCUGAGAUCGUGUCAUUGCAUUCCAGCCUGGGCGACAGAGUGAGACUCCAUCUCAGGAAAAAGAAUAGGUGACAUUAUCAGCCCUGAAGAAGCCUCUUGAACCCCCUUCCAAUCAUCAACCCCCCAAAUAAGCACCUAUCCUGACUUGUACCCAUAUAGAUUAGUUUUUAAAUAUUCUACAAAUAGACUCAUACCAUAUGUAUUCUUUUGUGUUUGGCUGCUUUUGUUCAUAUUGAACAUCAUGUUUGUGGGAGUCACCCACGUUGUUGUAUGUAAUUGCAGUGCUUUCAUUCUUGUUGCUGUAUCGUCUUUUAUGGUAAUGAAUAUGACAUUAUUUAUCCAUUCUAAUGUUGAUGUGCAUUUGGGUAGUUUGUUGUGUUUUUGGUUUUUUGUUUUUUGUUUUUUUUUGAUACGGAGUCUUACUCUGUAGCCCAGGCUGGAGUGCAAUGGCGCAAUCUCCACUCACUGCAACCUCCACCUCCCGGGUUCAAGCAAUUCUCCUGCCUCAGCCACCCGAAUAGCUGGGAUUACAGGUGCCCGUCACCACACCCGGCUCUUUUUUUUUUUUUUUGUAUUUUUAGUAGAGAUGGGGUUUUACCAUGUUGGCCAGGCUGGUCUUGAACUCUUGACCUCAGGUGAUCCGCCCUCCUUGACCUCCCAAACUGCUGGGAUUACAGGCAUGAGCCACCGUGCCUGGCUGGGUAGUUUUAAGAUACAACGGAUAGUGCUGCUAUGAACAUUCUAGCAUACAUCUUUAGUGAGAAUAUGGAUGCACAUCUGGUGGGGCUAUACGAAUUGUACCUAAUUCCUAGAAGUGGGGAUUUCUGGGUCACAGAGUAUUAACAUGUUCAGCCGUAGUAGAAGCUAUCAGCUUUCCAAAGUGGUGGUAUGAUCUGAGGAUGCAAGUAUUAAGUGGCGAAAACCGCAAUGACUUUCGCACCAAUGUAAUACUUUGUGGUCCUCUUUUCCUAAAAUCUUAAUUCUGCUUUGUUUCAUUUUUCCCUCACACCUGAGGCUGUGCUAGAGCUCCUUACAUCUCACUGCCAAGAAAACUCUCCCUCACACCCAAUUUUUUGAAUUUGAGCUUUUCUCUCCCUUUACCUGCUACUUCCUCACCUCUAGGUUGGUUACUGUCAGUCCCAUUGUCUGGAUUCUUCAUCUCUCAAACUUGAAAUAGGCCUGGCCGGAAGGGAGCUCUUGUCAGAAGGAAGUGGAGGCUGUGGGGGACACGGAAUAUGCAAAGAUCAAAUUUCCUGUGGAGACAGUGUGUGUGGGAGAAGCUGGGAACAUUCACUCAUUAAUAAUUUUUGUAUCUGCCACACAGAGAAAGGGAAUUAAGGAAAAACCCUUAAAAAUCAUUAAGAUGAACUAUCUGGAGGAGUGCAGGAUCUUAUUAAUAUUCAAGUCGUCGUGGGGAGAGGCAGGCAGCAGGAGGGGGAGGAAGCUCCCUCAGUCCCCACCCCGGCCCUUUGUGGGAGUCCGGGAGUGGGGCCACUGCAGAGGGGACCCGGGGUGCUCCCAUGCUGGGGACUCUGCGUGCUCUUGCCAAAAGGUUAAUGGUCACGGCUCUAACUCCACCCACGGCCGAUCCUGAUUAAUGGCACACCUUGGGAGGGUGCUGAGGCGAGAGACUAGUUGAGUUCCCAACUCUCAUGAGAAAUACGUAAUCAUUAAUCAACAUUACUGGGCCCCACUCAGACUAAGUGGCCUCUUGUGAUUAAGAACGGGCCCUUGAAAAAUAAAAACGCAGUCUUUUAGCA
ensembl:lncRNA